rnacentral:rRNA from 1 species
AGAGUUUGAUCCUGGCUCAGAACGAACGCUGGCGGCAGGCCUAACACAUGCAAGUCGAACGGAUCCUUCGGGAUUAGUGGCAGACGGGUGAGUAACGCGUGGGAAGCUACCUUGUGGUAGGGAACAACAGUUAGAAACGACUGCUAAUACCCUAUGAGCCCUAUGGGGGAAAGAUUUAUCGCCAUGAGAUGUGCCCGCGUUAGAUUAGCUAGUUGGUAAGGUAAUGGCUUACCAAGGCGACGAUCUAUAGCUGGUCUGAGAGGAUGAUCAGCCACACUGGGACUGAGACACGGCCCAGACUCCUACGGGAGGCAGCAGUGGGGAAUAUUGGACAAUGGGGGCAACCCUGAUCCAGCCAUGCCGCGUGUGUGAUGACGGCCUUAGGGUUGUAAAGCACUUUCAGCAGUGAAGAUAAUGACAUUAACUGCAGAAGAAGCCCCGGCUAACUUCGUGCCAGCAGCCGCGGUAAUUCAAGCCGAAUUCCA